rnacentral:rRNA from 1 species
UACGUAGGGCGCAAGCGUUGUCCGGAAUUAUUGGGCGUAAAGAGCUCGUAGGCGGUCUGUUACGUCUGCUGUGAAAACCCAGGGCUUAACCCUGGGCUUGCAGUGGAUACGGACAGACUAGAGGCAGGUAGGGGAGAAUGGAAUUCCCGGUGUAGCGGUGAAAUGCGCAGAUAUCGGGAGGAACACCGGUGGCGAAGGCGGGUCUCUGGGCCGGAACUGACGCUGAGGAGCGAAAGCGUGGGGAGCGAACAGG